UGGGGCUAUAGCUCAGCUGGGAGAGCGCUUGCAUGGCAUGUAAGAGGUCAGCGGUUCGAUCCCGCUUAGCUCCACCAG
rnacentral:tRNA from 1 species